rnacentral:rRNA from 1 species
AGAGUUUGAUCAUGGCUCAGAACGAACGCUGGCGGCAGGCUUAACACAUGCAAGUCGAACGAGACCUUCGGGUCUAGUGGCGCACGGGUGAGUAACGCGUGGGAACCUGUCCUGUGGUUCGGGAUACCUCCGGGAAACUGGAGUUAAUACCGGAUGUCUCCUUCGGGAGAAAGAUUUAUCGCCAUAGGGUGGGCCCGCGUCCGAUUAGCUAGUUGGUGGGGUAAAGGCCUACCAAGGCAUCGAUCGGUAGCUGGUCUGAGAGGAUGAUCAGCCACACUGGGACUGAGACACGGCCCAGACUCCUACGGGAGGCAGCAGUGGGGAAUAUUGGACAAUGGGGGCAACCCUGAUCCAGCCAUGCCGCGUGAGUGAUGAAGGCCUUCGGGUUGUAAAGCUCUUUCGGUGGGGACGAUGAUGACGGUACCCACAGAAGAAGCCCCGGCUAACUUCGUGCCAGCAGCCGCGGUAAUACGAAGGGGGCGAGCGUUGUUCGGAAUUACUGGGCGUAAAGGGCGCGUAGGCGGCGCACCAAGUCAGGCGUGAAAGCCCUGGGCUUAACCCAGGAAUUGCGUUUGAGACUGGCGUGCUGGAGUGCAGGAGAGGUCGGCGGAAUUCCCAGUGUAGAGGUGAAAUUCGUAGAGAUUGGGAAGAACACCGGUGGCGUAGGCGGCCGACUGGACUGUAACUGACGCUGAGGCGCGAAAGCGUGGGGAGCAAACAGGAUUAGAUACCCUAGUAGUCC